CUUGAUCCACAACGGAGAGCGUUUUAAGUUACUACAAUCUUAUAGAUAGCACUACGUCAUCUUUACGCGCGAGCAUUCCAUUAAUCGAGCGCCAUCUUUCCGAGAAUUUAUCACUAAGGAGCAUCCACAAAGCUACUUAUUUUUUAAAGUGAACAUGGAUGGUGGAAAAAUAUAAGAAGUAUUAGGUAAAAUCACUAACUUCUUGAUAGACAUUAUGGCAGUUUUUAAUUUUCUAUAAUUGUAUUUUCUUUUUGUGAUUAAAUUGAGUUUUGUAAUUUCAUACUUUUAUGUUGGGAUAUGUAUGUAAAGUAGUAAGUAAAAGAAAGAGGAAAAGAGUGUCGAAGGCGUUGUGCGAAAAGAAUGCAAUGAGAACAUGCAAUGUAGCAAUCUACAAUUUGAAUUUGGCGCGAGACAAACAUUAAGAACUGCAUGACGAAAUAGAAGCAAAAUGGCUUCUGAAAUCUCUGCUUUUCAUUACAAAAAUCAUUGUAAAAGUUUGCUAUCAAAAGAAAAACAAUAAACUAAAUCAAGCUCUUUUCUUUUUAAAAAAAUAUGGGAAUUGAGGAACAAUACAUAUUUAUAAUGAAUCGAUCAGUUUUCCAGUAAAUAAAUUAUAGUAACUUUACUAGGAACAUGGAAUAAAACUGAAAUUAACACUUCGGCGCGAACAUUGAAAUAAUUCUAGAGCUCAAUCUUUUUUAGUUUAGAAUUAAGCCCGAAUUUGACAAAUUGAUAACCUUUUAUACCCUUUUUAUUUUUUGAAAUGUACAUUAUUACAAAGUUUUGCAUAUUGCUAUGCUUAUUAAAAAGUUUAUUAAUACAAAUAUUAAUAAUAAAGAUAAACAUACAUAUAUAUUUCGGUAUAUA